rnacentral:lncRNA from 1 species
UGGUUCUCUUAGAGCCACAGCUUGAUUGGCUUAAGAUGACGGGAAAGCACCCACCCCUUCCCGUCAUAGGCUGCAUUUCCUGGGAAGCUGACUCUGAGUUCGUUGUGUAGGAUCAUUCUGAAGGAGCACCUGUGGGAUCAGCAACUGUGGAAGGGGCGCAAUGGAAGCAGGUUUUGAGGGCUCAGCUAAAGCUAAUACACGGAGUUCCACUUUACCGCACUGCUACAUAUGGGACCUGCAAACUCAGUGGGGGCCCAAGACAGGUACAUUCGGGUCACGGCCAACAUGCGGAGAGAGAGAACACACACCUUUUCGUUGGGAUUUCCUUCCAACCUUG